rnacentral:rRNA from 1 species
UCAGGCCUAACACAUGCAAGUCGAACGGCAGCACGGGUGCUUGCACCUGGUGGCGAAUAGAGAACGGGUGAGUAAUACAUCGGAACGUACCUUAUCGUGGGGGAUAACGCAGCGAAAGUUGCGCUAAUACCGCAUACGCCCUGAGGGGGAAAGCGGGGGACCGUAAGGCCUCGCGCGAUUAGAGCGGCCGAUGUCUGAUUAGCUUGUUGGUGAGGUAAAAGCUCACCAAGGCGAUGAUCAGUAGCUGGUCUGAGAGGACGAUCAGCCACACUGGGACUGAGACACGGCCCAGACUCCUACGGGAGGCAGCAGUGGGGAAUUUUGGACAAUGGGGGCAACCGUGAUCUUUCAAGGCCGCGUGAGUGAAGAA